rnacentral:rRNA from 1 species
UUGAACGCUGGCGGCAGGCCUAACACAUGCAAGUCGAGCGGUAGCACAGAGAGCUUGCUCUCGGGUGACGAGCGGCGGACGGGUGAGUAAUGUCUGGGAAACUGCCUGAUGGAGGGGGAUAACUACUGGAAACGGUAGCUAAUACCGCAUAAUGUCGCAAGACCAAAGUGGGGGACCUUCGGGCCUCAUGCCAUCAGAUGUGCCCAGAUGGGAUUAGCUAGUAGGUGGGGUAACGGCUCACCUAGGCGACGAUCCCUAGCUGGUCUGAGAGGAUGACCAGCCACACUGGAACUGAGACACGGUCCAGACUCCUACGGGAGGCAGCAGUGGGGAAUAUUGCACAAUGGGCGCAAGCCUGAUGCAGCCAUGCCGCGUGUGUGAAGAAGGCCUUCGGGUUGUAAAGCACUUUCAGCGGGGAGGAAGGCGUUAAGGUUAAUAACCUUGGCGAUUGACGUUACCCGCAGAAGAAGCACCGGCUAACUCCGUGCCAGCAGCCGCGGUAAUACGGAGGGUGCAAGCGUUAAUCGGAAUUACUGGGCGUAAAGCGCACGCAGGCGGUCUGUCAAGUCGGAUGUGAAAUCCCCGGGCUCAACCUGGGAACUGCAUUCGAAACUGGCAGGCUAGAGUCUUGUAGAGGGGGGUAGAAUUCCAGGUGUAGCGGUGAAAUGCGUAGAGAUCUGGAGGAAUACCGGUGGCGAAGGCGGCCCCCUGGACAAAGACUGACGCUCAGGUGCGAAAGCGUGGGGAGCAAACAGGAUUAGAUACCCUGGUAGUCCACGCCGUAAACGAUGUCGAUUUGGAGGUUGUGCCCUUGAGGCGUGGCUUCCGGAGCUAACGCGUUAAAUCGACCGCCUGGGGAGUACGGCCGCAAGGUUAAAACUCAAAUGAAUUGACGGGGGCCCGCACAAGCGGUGGAGCAUGUGGUUUAAUUCGAUGCAACGCGAAGAACCUUACCUGGUCUUGACAUCCACAGAACUUUCCAGAGAUGGAUUGGUGCCUUCGGGAACUGUGAGACAGGUGCUGCAUGGCUGUCGUCAGCUCGUGUUGUGAAAUGUUGGGUUAAGUCCCGCAACGAGCGCAACCCUUAUCCUUUGUUGCCAGCGGUCCGGCCGGGAACUCAAAGGAGACUGCCAGUGAUAAACUGGAGGAAGGUGAGGAUGACGUCAAGUCAUCAUGGCCCUUACGACCAGGGCUACACACGUGCUACAAUGGCGCAUACAAAGAGAAGCGACCUCGCGAGAGCAAGCGGACCUCAUAAAGUGCGUCGUAGUCCGGAUUGGAGUCUGCAACUCGACUCCAUGAAGUCGGAAUCGCUAGUAAUCGUAGAUCAGAAUGCUACGGUGAAUACGUUCCCGGGCCUUGUACACACCGCCCGUCACACCAUGGGAGUGGGUUGCAAAAGAAGUAGGUAGCUUAACCUUCGGGAGGGCGCUUACCACUUUGUGAUUCAUGACUGGGGUG